rnacentral:rRNA from 1 species
AUUGAACGCUGGCGGCAGGCCUAACACAUGCAAGUCGAACGCGUGGCGGACGGGUGAGUAUUGUCCGGGAAAAUGCCUGACGUAGGGGGGUAACCAAUGUGAACGGUAGCUAUCAUCGCGCACCAGCAGAUGUAUCCCGAUGGGAUUAGCUAGUUGGUGAGGUAACGGCUCACCAAGCAGACGAUACCUAGCUGGUCUGAGAGGAUGACCAGCCACACUGGAACUGCGACACGGUCCAGACUCCUACGGGAGGCAGCAGUGGGGAAUAUUGCACAAUGGGGGAAAGCCUGAUGCAGCCAUGCCGCGUGUGUGAAGAAGGCCUUCGGGUUGUAAAGUACUUUCAGCGAGGAGGCGUUACCCGCAGAAGAAGCACCGGCUAACUCCGUGCCAGCAGCCGCGGUAAUUC